CUCGGGACACCGACCAGACCCGGACAGGAGCGGGGGACCCAAGUGUGAACGCCGUAGUCCCCACGGCUUGGGGUGAAGCCGCCGGGGAGCGGACGCAACCGCGUCCGGUCCCGCCGGCGGCCGGGCCAGCCUCCCGGUCCGAACCCGACAGCUCACCUCGCAGGCGUGCGGAGAGGAAGC
rnacentral:sRNA from 2 species